rnacentral:sRNA from 1 species
GAGCUUCGGAUAGGCGGCUACGUCGUG